CACUGGUACUCCAAGAAAAGCUCCUCAGCGUCUGUCAAUGAUCUCCUUCCAGAAAAUGGCAUUUGGGGAGUUACAGAAUGACAGGAUUCUUCCAAAGGUUUUCCUGUUUAUCAUACUUCUCCUGGUUCACUACAAUGAAGACAAAAAUCAAAAUGAAAUCACUGUCUAGAAAGAAAACAGAUGUCUACCAUCCUGUUCAAGGAACUCCUGACUGUGCCUCAAGCCAUGUGGAGUACACACAGUAACCAAAGUAACCCAAAGUAAUGUAUCCAAAACAGACAAGGUCUUUGCCAGAUCCCAC